GAGGGCUCUGCCUGUUGGUGCUGAACACCAGGAGGGCUCUGCCUGCUCGUGGUAAGGGCUAGGAGGGCUCUGCCUGUUGUCAGGGAGCAGCAGGGGGGUUGCAGUGAGGAGCUCCGCCUGUUGGCAGGGAGGGCUGCCGCCUGUUCACGGUGAGGGGUGCUGCCUGUUACUGGGGAGCAUCUGGGGGGUCCACAGUGAGGGCUGUGGGCUGUUGGCAGGGAGCACCAGGAGGACUCUGCCUGUUGGUGGUGAGCACCAGGGGGUUCAUGGUGAGGGGCUCCUCCUCUUUACGGUGAGCAGCUCUGACUGUUCAUGGCGAGGGGCUGCGCCUGUUGGCGGUGAGGGGCUCUGCCUGUUGGUGGUGAGCACCGGGAGGGCACCACCUGUUCAUGGUGAGGGGCUCUGCCUGUUGGUGGGAAGGGCUGCCAGCUGUUGGGAUUGGGUGCCAGGAGGGCUCCUCCUGUUCAUGGUGAGGGGCUUCUGUUUCUGAUGAGGGGUUUCUGUUGAUGGUGAGGGGCUCCUGUUGAUGGUGGGGGGCUCCUGUUGGUGGUGAGGGGCUCCUGUUGGUGGUAGGGGGCUCCUGUUGAUUGUGAGGGGCUCCUGUUGGUGGUGGGGGGCUCCUGUUGGUGGUGGGGGGCUCCUGUUGGUGGUGGGGGGCUCCUGUUGGUGGUGAGGGGCUCCUGUUGGUGGUGGGGGGCUCCAAGUGUUCAUGGUGAGCACGAGGUGCUGUUCUGCCUGUUGGCAGUGGGCAGUUCCGCUGCGCUGCUCCAAACCCCCCAACAGAAUCCCCCGACCCCCAAUCCCGGCCCCAUAGGGGGCAGAAGGGACCUCUGGUUCCCCCCCACGUCACCCCCAACCCACAGUGCUGGGCCUGCGGUCACAGGCAGGGGGGUGAGAUGAGACCCCACCUCUGCUCUGGGUGGUGUGUUCUGUUGGGGGCCCAUUGGGAACCCAUUGGGAGCUCAUUGGAAAUCCAUUGGGAACCCAUUGAGGAUCCUAUUGGAAAUCCAUUGGGAACCCAUUGGGAAUCUACUGGAAAUCCAUUGGGAACCCAUUGGGAAUCUACUGGGAACCCAUUGGGGAACUCUUUGGGGAACCCAUUGGGAACCCAUUGGGAACCCAUUGGGAGCUCAUUGGGGAACUCAUUGGGAACCCAUUGGGAACCUACUGGAAAUCUAUUGGGAACUCAUUGGGGAACCUAUUGGGAACCCAUUGGACCCCAUUGGGAACCCCCUGGAAGUCCCAAUUGAGAACCCAUUGGAAGUGGCCCCAAACCCACUGUGGCCCCAUCCGCUUCCCACCAGACCCCCAUCUGGGCCCACAACCCCAAUUCCGUGUGUGGGUUCGGGGUCUCAGAGCAUUUGGGGGCAACUCUGAGAGCAUUGGGGGUUUUGGGGGGGGGGAAGUUCCUCCUGUGUGGAGGUGGAGUGGGGGGACACCCAGGGGGGGGGAGUCACUGAAACAGAGGGGGGAAGUCCUUGAAAAUAAGGGGGAGAUCCUAAAUAGUGAAUGGGGUCCUGAGGAGGGAAGGGGAGAAGCCCUAAAAUCGGGUGGAAGCCCCCAGAAAUAGAGGGGAGGCUUCUGGAAGAGUGCCCCAAAAUGGGGGGGGGCAAAAGAGGGGCGGCUCAGCUGCAGAAGGAGGGCCUCCCCACAGGGGGGUCA
ensembl:lncRNA